GGUAAAAUGGCUGAGUUUAGGCGAUAAAUUGUAAAUUUAUAGACGAGGUUAUAUACUCUUUUGCCA
rnacentral:tRNA from 2 species